rnacentral:rRNA from 1 species
AUACGUAGGGGGCGAGCGUUGUCCGGAAUGAUUGGGCGUAAAGGGCGCGUAGGCGGCCCGGUAAGUCUGGAGUGAAAGUCCUGUUUUUGAGAUGGGAAUUGCUUUGGAUACUGUCGGGCUUGAGUGCAGGAGAGGUAAGUGGAAUUCCCAGUGUAGCGGUGAAAUGCGUAGAGAUUGGGAGGAACACCAGUGGCGAAGGCGACUUACUGGACUGUAACUGACGCUGAGGCGCGAAAGUGUGGGGAGCAAACAGGAUUAGAUACCCUGGUAGUCCACACUGUAAACGAUGAAUGCUAGGUGCAGGGGGUAUCGACCCCUUCUGUGCCGCAGUCAACACAAUAAGCAUUCCGCCUGGGGAGUACGGCCGCAAGGUUGAAACUCAAAUGAAUUGACGGGG